CAGCAGUGGGGAAUAUUGCACAAUGGGGGAAACCCUGAUGCAGCGACGCCGCGUGAAGGAAGAAGUAUCUCGGUAUGUAAACUUCUAUCAGCAGGGAAGAUAGUGACGGUACCUGACUAAGAAGCCCCGGCUAACUACGUGCC
rnacentral:rRNA from 1 species